rnacentral:rRNA from 3 species
GCCCCGUAAUCGGAAUGAGUACACUUUAAAUCCUUUAACAAGGAUCCAUUGGAGGGCAAGUCUGGUGCCAGCAGCCGCGGUAAUUCCAGCUCCAAUAGCGUAUAUUAAAGUUGUUGCGGUUAAAAAGCUCGUAGUUGGUUCUGCGUGCCGCGCUGUCGGUUCGCCGCCUGUCGGUGUAACUGGCAUGUCGCGGCAUGUCCUGUCGGUGGUGAACGGAGUCCACAAUGCUACAUAGGCUUUAUAGCCGAUGUUAGCGUCGUGUGUACUUCCGUUGGCCGAUCUCUCCUACUUCGGUGCUCUUAAACGAGUGUCGAGGUAGGCCGACACGUUCACUUUGAACAAAUUAGAGUGCUUAAAGCAGGCUGAAAUAUCUGCCUGAAUAGUGGUGCAUGGAAUGAUAAAACAGGACCUCGGUUCUAUUUUGUUGGUUUUAGGAAUAUGAGGUAAUGAUCAAUGUGGACUGGCGGGGGCAUUCGUAUUGCGACGUUAGAGGUGAAAUUCUUGGAUCGUCGCAAGACGCACUAGAGCGAAAGCAUUUGCCAAGUAUGUCUUAAUUGAUCAAGAACGAAAGUUAGAGGUUCGAAGGCGAUCAGAUACCGCCCUAGUUCUAACCAUAAACGAUGCCAGCCAGCGAUCCGCCGAUGUUCCUUUAAUGACUCGGCGGGGAGCUUCCACCCGGGAAACCAAAGCUUUUGGGUUCCGGGGGAAGUAUGGUUGCAAAGCUGAAACUUAAAGGA